rnacentral:rRNA from 1 species
GCGAUCAUACCAGCACUAAUGCACCGGAUCCCAUCAGAACUCCGCAGUUAAACAUGCUUGGGCGAGAGUAGUACUAGGAUGGGUUUUGUUAUUUACUUCCUUUUGACUUGUGGACUUCCUAUUUGGCUAUGAUU